AGAGCAUGAGACUCUUAAUCUCAGGGUCGUGGGUUCGAGCCCCACGCUGGGCGCAGCUUUUGUUAAGCUGGUAAGGGAGUUCAGAUUCUUCCCUGUGGAGCAAGCAUUCACAGAAUCCUAGCCACACCCAUCUACAGAGGGGGCUACUGGUAAAGAGUCCGCCUGCCAAUGCAGGAGACGUAGAGACGCAGUCUCGAUCCUUGUGUCAGGAAGAUCCUCUGCCGGGAGAAUCCCAUGGACAAAGGAGCCUGGCGGGCUACAUCCCAUAGGGUUGCAGAGUCAGAUACAACUGAGACGAUUUAGCACGCACACACAGGUUUCCCAGGUUGUGGUUAUUUGUUCGGGCAGCCACAGCUGAAGGACCACAGAGAGACCCACAGAGGGGUGCCGGGGUUCAGCCUCGGCAGGAUCCAGGGGUACCCUCAGGAUGAACGGCGUCGGCGAGAGAAGACGCGUGAGACCAGCCUUUGUGAAGCCAAGUCUAUCUUUUACUUUUUGACAACAGUUUAUAUACCCUCACUCAGAAUGUAUCCAAGGAUCUCCGCUGCCGGUUGUUUCAGAGUCUGCUGGACUUCCCAGGGGGACCCGCGACAUCCUAGUGGGGUCCUAGCCGUUCCGAGACUGAACAAUUGGGGUCUUACCUUCGGGUCCCUGUUCGUGGCACCACUUGCCGGGGUCCAGCCUCGGUAGGAUCCAGGGGUACCCUCAGGA